AUAUUGGAAUCGAGUACAUUUCUUCGUUUCUUCUUUGCUGUUUUCAGUGAGUGUUUUGUUUUCUCUUUGUCCUUGAUCUCGACGGUGUUGUCGUGCUCAUUACCUUACUGAGACGUCUCUUGUGACUGUAGCCAGUGUCACGGAGGAUUUUAUUGGCGUGACGAGGUAGAUCGCCGAGAUCGAGCGUGAAAAACGCUCUGCAUUAGUAGCUCCUGUAGAAUGUCUUCUGGGAUGGCGUAUCCAUGGUCAACAAAGCCACGGUGCAAGACAGCAUAAGCGAUCGUGUAAACGAUGUGAACUCCAAAAGAUAAUCUGGGCAAAUAAAUUAUAUUGUGACUGGAGAGUGCAAUCGUGCUUGGGACCCAUCCCAAUGUCAUCACAUGGCUGUGGUGACUAGUGUAUACCUGUACCUGGGAGAGUUUUCCUCAACUGAGACGGAGUGUAGGUGGAUGGAUUAUGAGAAAUGCGAAGAUGUGGAGUUCAAGGCUAGAUGCACUUCACAUUCGGCGUGCGAUCUUGGCGUCUGGGACCUGAUAACGUCUUGGUUGGAUGGGUAAUCAAGGAUGAUACUACUCGGCACACCAAUGUACAUGUCAAUGUAAUUUUUACUUUUUCAGAGCUGCACUAUUUACGACGAAUGUGUCUGUUAGAGAGGAAAUAAAUAGUAUUCACAUUCACAAACAAGUCCCACUUAUUGUUUCUGUCCGUAAAAGGAAAUUGCAAUUUUUUGGUCAUAUUGUUCGUUCCGGCUGUUUGUCAUUGACUGUUCUUCAGGGUUGUGUUGCUGGAGGUCGUGGCCGAGGCAGGCCCAGAAUGUCUUGGCUU